rnacentral:rRNA from 1 species
AUUGAACGCUGGCGGCAUGCCUUACACAUGCAAGUCGAACGGUAACAGGUCUUCGGAUGCUGACGAGUGGCGAACGGGUGAGUAAUACAUCGGAACGUGCCUAGUAGUGGGGGAUAACUACUCGAAAGAGUGGUUAAUACCGCAUGAGAUCUACGGAUGAAAGCAGGGGAUCGCAAGACCUUGUGCUACUAGAGCGGCCGAUGGCAGAUUAGGUAGUUGGUGGGAUAAAAGCUUACCAAGCCGACGGUCUGUAGCUGGUCUGAGAGGACGAUCAGCCACACUGGGACUGAGACACGGCCCAGACUCCUACGGGAGGCAGCAGUGGGGAAUUUUGGACAAUGGGCGAAAGCCUGAUCCAGCUAUGCCGCGUGCAGGAUGAAGGCCUUCGGGUUGUAAACUGCUUUUGUACGGAACGAAAAGCCCCGGGUUAAUACCCUGGGGUCAUGACGGUACCGUAAGAAUAAGCACCGGCUAACUACGUGCCAGCCGCCGCCGUAA